AACGAACGCUGGCGGCAUGCCUAACACAUGCAAGUCGAACGAGACCUUCGGGUCUAGUGGCGCACGGGUGCGUACCGCGUGGGAACCUGCCCUUAGGUUCGGAAUAACUCCCCGAAGGGGGUGCUAAUACCGGAUAAUGUCUUCGGACCAAAGAUUUAUCGCCUUUGGAUGGGCCCGCGUUGGAUUAGCUAGUUGGUAGGGUAAAAGCCUACCAAGGCGACGAUCCAUAGCUGGUCUGAGAGGAUGAUCAGCCACACUGGGACUGAGACACGGCCCAGACUCCUACGGGAGGCAGCAGUGGGGAAUAUUGGACAAUGGGCGAAAGCCUGAUCCAGCAAUGCCGCGUGAGUGAUGAAGGCCUUAGGGUUGUAAAGCUCUUUUACCCGGGAUGAUAAUGACAGUACCGGGAGAAUAAGCUCCGGCUAACUCCGUG
rnacentral:rRNA from 1 species